rnacentral:rRNA from 1 species
GAGAAAGGUGGGAAUCCUUUCGGCCGAAUAUCUAAGGUUUCCAGAGUAAAGCUGAUCUGCUCUGGGUAAGUCGGGGCCUAAGCACAGGUCGCAAGACGUAAGCGAUGGAUAACAGGUUUAGAUUCCUGUACCACGCAUUAUCAGAACUGUAGGGACGCAUGUGGAAAGCACGGGCCGGGAAUGGAAAGACCGGUACAAGCGGGGUAGGUGUACAAUAGGCAAAUCCGUUGUAUAAUCCGAAGACGUGAUGUGGAGCGAAAUAAAGUAGUGAAGCGUGUGAGCCAUGUGCCGAGAAAAGCUGCUAUUGUGUAAUGCGUGCCCGUACCGUAAACCGACACAGGUGGAUGAGGAGAGAAUCCUAAGGCCGGCCGAAGAAGCAUUGUUAAGGAAUUCGGCAAAAUGACCCCGUAACUUCGGGAGAAGGGGUGCCUGCGAGAGCAGGCCGCAGAGAAUAGGCUCAAGCAACUGUUUAGCAAAAACACAGGUCUAUGCGAAACCGAAAGGUGAAGUAUAUGGGCUGACGCCUGCCCGGUGCUGGAAGGUUAAGAGGAGAGGUUAGCCUCGGCGAAGCUUUGAAUUUAAGCCCCAGUAAACGGCGGCCGUAACAAUAACGGUCCUAAGGUAGCGAAAUUCCUUGUCGGGUAAGUUCCGACCCGCACGAAAGGCGUAAUGAUUUGAGCACUGUCUCGACAAUGCAUCCGGUGAAAUUGAAGUACCAGUGAAGAUGCUGGUUACCCGCGCCAGGACGGAAAGACCCCAUGGAGCUUUACUCCAGUUUGAUACUGGGAUUCGGUACUGCAUGUUCAGGAUAGGUGGGAGACGAAGAAGAUGGACCCAGUCUGUCCGGAGUCGCUGUUGGGAUACCACCCCUGUAGUACUGGGUUUCUAACCAGUUGCCAUGAACUGGCAAUGGGACAAUGUCAAGCGGGGAGUUUGACUGGGGCGGUCGCCUCCGAAAGGGUAUCGGAGGCGCUCAAAGGUUCCCUCAGAAUGGUUGGAAACCAUUUGAAGAGUGCAAAGGCAGAAGGGAGCUUGACUGCGACACCGACGGGUGGAGCAGGUACGAAAGUAGGACUUAGUGAUCCGGUGGUAUAAAGUGGGAUUGCCAUCGCUCAACAGAUAAAAGCUACCCUGGGAUAACAGGCUUAUCACUCCCAAGAGUUCACAUCGACGGAGUGGUUUGGCACCUCGAUGUCGGCUCAUCGCAUCCUGGGGCUGUAGCAGGUCCCAAGGGUUGGGCUGUUCGCCCAUUAAAGCGGUACGCGAGCUGGGUUCAGAACGUCGUGAGACAGUUCGGUCCCUAUCCGGCGCGGGCGGAGGAUAUUUGAGAGGAGCUGUCCUUAGUACGAGAGGACCGGGAUGGACGGACCACUGGUGUAUCUGUUGUCAACGGCAUGGCAGAGUAGCCAAGUCUGGAAGGGAUAAACGCUGAAGGCAUCUAAGCGUGAAGCCCCCCUCAAGAUGAGAUAUCCCUCCUUCGGGAGUAAGACCCCUUGAAGACUACAAGGUAGAUAGGGCAGAGGUGGAAGCAUGGCAACAUGUGGAGCUGACUGUUACUAAUAGGUCGAGGGCUUAAUUA